rnacentral:rRNA from 1 species
UUUUGGACAAUGGGCGCAAGCCUGAUCCAGCCAUUCCGCGUGAGUGAAGAAGGCCUUCGGGUUGUAAAGCUCUUUCGCAAGGGAAGAAAACUUACAUUCUAAUAAAGUGUGAGGCUGACGGUACCUUGAUAAGAAGCACCGGCUAACUACGUGCCAGCAGCCGCGGUAAUACGUAGGGUGCGAGCGUUAAUCGGAAUUACUGGGCGUAAAGCGUGCGCAGGCGGUUUUGUAAGUCAGAUGUGAAAUCCCCGAGCUCAACUUGGGAACUGCGUUUGAAACUACAAGACUAGAAUAUGUCAGAGGGGGGUAGAAUUCCACGUGUAGCAGUGAAAUGCGUAGAGAUGUGGAGGAAUACCAAUGGCGAAGGCAGCCCCCCGGGAUAAUAUGACGCUCAUGCACGGA